rnacentral:tRNA from 1 species
AUUUACCUUUCUUUAGGAAUUUGAAAUUCUUAUAAGGGAAAACCAAUUUUUUUCCAGGUGAAUU